CCGUCGCGCGGUGGAUCAGACUGGUGUCUGGUUCCUGGGUCUAGGUCUCGGUCUCGGUCGAUCCCCCAUUCCCCUCCCCGAACCCGAAUAGAGCUAGCGAGCGAGCGAAUCCAGCGAGCUAGGGUUCCCCCCUAUUGAUCCCCUUCCCGAAUCCAACUAGGGUUCCUUGCCGCCCGCCCCGCCUGUCCUCUCCUCCCUCCGACGAGCGACGGCCAGCGAGCGCGGAUGCGACGCGCCCUACCGUCCUCUGCCCGGCCUCCUCCAACCCAGGCCAGGUCGUCACCCUCGUCGCCGCUACCAGCAAGACGGAGGGCCCAACUCGCCGCCAUCCUUGUCGCCGCCACCAGAUCCCGUCAGGUUAGUGGAUUGGUCAGCGGAUCUGAAGAUCAGUGGAUUCCGAGAAGCCAGAUCAAACGUAACUGAAGAAAACACCAUUGCUCUGUUAUGCUUGUGAUGGCCUGAAUGAUGGUGUAGAGAUGUUCUUUUGAUUUUUGUGAUGGUCAGAUUUGUUACAUCUGAUCAACUAGACAUGAUUUGUUACAUAGUUGUAGACAUGUUCUGUUGAUACUUGUGAUGGUCUGAUAGUUGUAGACAUGUUCUUUUUGAUGCUUGCUUGAACGGUGCUAACAAGUUGCUUUCUUAUAUGAAGUGUUUGCAAGACUA